rnacentral:rRNA from 1 species
UACGUAGGGUGCAAGCGUUGUCCGGAAUUAUUGGGCGUAAAGAGCUCGUAGGCGGUCUGUCACGUCGACUGUGAAAUCCCGAGGCUCAACCUCGGGCCUGCAGUCGAUACGGGCAGACUAGAGUUCGGUAGGGGAGACUGGAAUUCCUGGUGUAGCGGUGAAAUGCGCAGAUAUCAGGAGGAACACCGGUGGCGAAGGCGGGUCUCUGGGCCGAAACUGACGCUGAGGAGCGAAAGCGUAGGGAGCGAACAGG